AGUGAACGCUGGCGGUAGGCCUAACACAUGCAAGUCGAACGGCAGCACAGUAAGAGCUUGCUCUUACGGGUGGCGAGUGGCGGACGGGUGAGGAAUACAUCGGAAUCUACUUUUUCGUGGGGGAUAACGUAGGGAAACUUACGCUAAUACCGCAUACGACCUACGGGGGAAAGCAGUGGAUCUUCGGACCUUGCGCGAUUGAAUGAGCCGAUGUCGGAUUAGCUAGUUGGCGGGGUAAAGGCCCACCAAGGCGACGAUCCGUAGCUGGUCUGAGAGGCUGGUAAGCCACACUGGAACUGAGACACGGUCCAGACUCCUACGGGAGGCAGCAGUGGGGAAUAUUGGACAAUGGGCGCAAGCCUGAUCCAGCCAUACCGCGUGGGUGAAGAAGGCCUUCGGGUUGUAAAGCCCUUUUGUUGGGAAAGAAAAGCAGCAGGUUAAUACCCCGCUGUUCUGACGGUACCCAAAGAAUAAGCACCGGCUAACUUCGUG
rnacentral:rRNA from 1 species